GAUAGUGGAUCUGCAAAGGAGAAAUGAAGAAUUGAACUUGAAGAUACAGAGAAUGUGUGAAGCAGCCCUCAAUGGCAAUGAAGAGGAGAUAAAUAACUAUGACAGUGAGGAGGAGAGCCUGUCCAAGAAGAAGCCGCGUCUGUUCUGCGACAUCUGCGGCUGCUUCGACCUGCACGACACCGAGGACUGCCCGACGCAGGCGCAGGCGCCGGAGGAGCCGCCGCACUCGGCGCACCACGGCAGCCGGCGGGAGGAGCGGCCCUACUGCGACACCUGCGAGGUGUUCGGCCACUGGACGGCCGACUGCAACGACGACGAGACCUUCUGAUGGGGGGACAGCGCCCCCGACCUCCGCACCACCAGCAGCCGCCUGUGCUGAAUGUCAGGACAAGGGACAGUGACCCCGCUCCCCUGCCCACCCACUCCGGAAUCCCUACAAGCAUAAAGAUUUUGAUCUUCCACUAAUAAAUACCCCCUGUCCCUUUUUAACAAACUUCAGUGAAAGACAAAUAAAUGAUUUAACAAGUGACUUUAUGCUGUUUCUUCCCAGGUUCUGGGUUUGUCCCGCCCUUAGCAGGAAAUGCCCCUGUGCUGUUGGAUCUGUUGGUGGGAAAACAUGUAUAGGAAUGAAGCACUAGAGUUAUAUUAAAGCUUAUUUAAAUACCUUAAAAAUAUGCUGUUAAUUUUCAUAUUUGCACUAAACCAUUUUAAGGCUGAAUUUGUACAUUUAGAUUUUUAAGCUUUUUUUUGACACUGGACUGAGUUGAGAAAUAUUUCAUCUUUAUUUUCAUUUACUCCUUUGAUUGCAAUGUUGCUCGGUGCCGUGAGCUCUGGGUUGUGGUUUGGUGUGAAACGUGGAAGUGACGCAGGUAAGGAGCUGCUGGGGGUUUUUGGAAACUUGUACGCUGUGCACAUCUGUGCACACCUGGAACAGUUUGUGGGCCAUCCCUGUUUUGCAUUCUUUCAGCUUCUAUAUAGUGAGUGUGGUGUGUGUGUAUAUAUGCAUAUAUAAAAUAAAGUUAUAUUUUGGAAAAAAAAAAGUGUUUUCUUUUCUGCAUUUCCAUUGUGAGGGUUUCUUCAUGGGGACAGACAGGCCCAGGGGCUGUACUGUAAAUCACAGAAUCCGUCAGCUGGGAAGAGACCUCUGAGACCAAAUCUGUGAUUCAACACCACCUUGUCAACAUGCCCAGGGUACUACUGAG
ensembl:lncRNA